GACGAACGCUGGCGGCGUGCUUAACACAUGCAAGUCGAACGGAAAGGCCCUGCUUUUGUGGGGUGCUCGAGUGGCGAACGGGUGAGUAACACGUGAGCAACCUGCCCUUGACUUUGGGAUAACUUCAGGAAACUGGGGCUAAUACCGGAUAGGAGCUCCUGCUGCAUGGUGGGGGUUGGAAAGUUUCGGCGGUUGGGGAUGGACUCGCGGCUUAUCAGCUUGUUGGUGGGGUAGUGGCUUACCAAGGCUUUGACGGGUAGCCGGCCUGAGAGGGUGACCGGCCACAUUGGGACUGAGAUACGGCCCAGACUCCUACGGGAGGCAGCAGUGGGGAAUAUUGCACAAUGGGCGGAAGCCUGAUGCAGCAACGCCGCGUGCGGGAUGACGGCCUUCGGGUUGUAAACCGCUUUCGCCUGUGACGAAGCGUGAGUGACGGUAAUGGGUAAAGAAGCACCGGCUAACUACGUGCCAGCAGCCGCGGUGAUACGUAGGGUGCGAGCGUUGUCCGGAUUUAUUGGGCGUAAAGGGCUCGUAGGUGGUUGAUCGCGUCGGAAGUGUAAUCUUGGGGCUUAACCCUGAGCGUGCUUUCGAUACGGGUUGACUUGAGGAAGGUAGGGGAGAAUGGAAUUCCUGGUGGAGCGGUGGAAUGCGCAGAUAUCAGGAGGAACACCAGUGGCGAAGGCGGUUCUCUGGGCCUCUCCUGACGCUGAGGAGCGAAAGCGUGGGGAGCGAACAGGCUUAGAUACCCUGGUAGUCCACGCUGUAAACGGUGGGUACUAGGUGUGGGGUCCAUUCCACGGGUUCCGUGCCGUAGCUAACGCUUUAAGUACCCCGCCUGGGGAGUACGGCCGCAAGGCUAAAACUCAAAGGAAUUGACGGGGCCCCGCACAAGCGGCGGAGCAUGCGGAUUAAUUCGAUGCAACGCGUAGAACCUUACCUGGGUUUGACAUGGAUCGGGAGCGCUCAGAGAUGGGUGUGCCUCUUUUGGGGUCGGUUCACAGGUGGUGCAUGGCUGUCGUCAGCUCGUGUCGUGAGAUGUUGGGUUAAGUCCCGCAACGAGCGCAACCCUUGUUCACUGUUGCCAGCACGUUAUGGUGGGGACUCAGUGGAGACCGCCGGGGUCAACUCGGAGGAAGGUGGGGAUGACGUCAAGUCAUCAUGCCCCUUAUGUCCAGGGCUUCACGCAUGCUACAAUGGCUGGUACAGAGAGUGGCGAGCCUGUGAGGGUGAGCGAAUCUCGGAAAGCCGGUCUCAGUUCGGAUUGGGGUCUGCAACUCGACCUCAUGAAGUCGGAGUCGCUAGUAAUCGCAGAUCAGCAACGCUGCGGUGAAUACGUUCCCGGG
rnacentral:rRNA from 1 species